rnacentral:rRNA from 1 species
CCUACGGGAGGCAGCAGUGGGGAAUAUUGGACAAUGGGCGCAAGCCUGAUCCAGCAAUGCCGCGUGAGUGAUGAAGGCCUUAGGGUUGUAAAGCUCUUUCGCACGCGACGAUGAUGACGGUAGCGUGAGAAGAAGCCCCGGCUAACUUCGUGCCAGCAGCCGCGGUAAUACGAAGGGGGCUAGCGUUGUUCGGAAUUACUGGGCGUAAAGGGCGCGUAGGCGGCCUGUUUAGUCAGAAGUGAAAGCCCCGGGCUCAACCUGGGAAUAGCUUUUGAUACUGGCAGGCUUGAGUUCCGGAGAGGAUGGUGGAAUUCCCAGUGUAGAGGUGAAAUUCGUAGAUAUUGGGAAGAACACCGGUGGCGAAGGCGGCCAUCUGGACGGACACUGACGCUGAGGCGCGAAAGCGUGGGGAGCAAACAGGAUUAGAUACCCUGGUAGUCCACGCCGUAAACGAUGAAAUGCUAGACGUACGGGUGGCAUGCACUUCGGUGUCGUCCGCUACGACAUAANACAUCGCCGUGGGAGGACGGCCGCGAAGUAAACGUAACAAAGAAAGUUAGACGACGNGAGACGNGCGAACGACGACACGAGGGAGGAGG